AUGCGGGGCCAGCUGCAGCGGCCCGUGGAGUUCCAGGCGGCUCUGCUGAGCCCUGGUUCCCCGAAACCGUGGCUCUGCGCCCCUUCCCCGGCCCCGCUCCGGGCCUUAGGCCCCCGGACGCCCAGCCGCCCCCGCCGCCGCUUCAGACCCAGACCCCGCAGCCCACUCUGCAGCAGCCCGCCCCCCGGCAGCGAGCGGCGCCUUCCAACUCCGGAGCAAAUUUUUUCAGAACAUAAAACAAGAAUAUCGUCGUUACCAGAGGUGGAGACAUUUAGAAGUUGUUCUUAAUCAGAGUGAAGUCUGUGCUUCGGAAAGUCAACCUCACUCCUCAGCACUCACAGCACCUAGUUCUCCAGGUUCCUCCUGGAUAAAGAAGGACCAGCCCACCUUCACCCUCAGACAAGUUGGAAUAAUCUGUGAGCGUCUCCUUAAGGACUAUGAGGACAAGAUCCGGGAGGAGUAUGAACAGGUCCUCAACACCAAACUAGCAGAACAAUAUGAAUCUUUUGUGAAAUUCACACAGGAUCAGAUUAUGCGACGGUAUGGGACAAGGCCAACAAGCUAUGUGUCCUGAAGCUGUGUUGCAUAUCUGGGUACCAGGUUUGGUCUCAAGAGAUGGCUGCUGUACACUUUUUGCAACUGGUUUGAUAUCACAUUUCAGCUCCAACUUUGCAUCCUGAGAAUCCAUAGCAUUUCUGCAGGUCCAUUUUAUACAACUUGAAAGACCUUAAAACUUUCUGGUUGCCACAAGCCUAUCUUUCUUUUCUGCUCAUCCAAUAGACAGCUGUGCCCUACUGUGAUAGAUUUUCCAAACAAAAAUACCUGGAGCAGCAGUUUAGCAAAAUAUGCCUUUAGUGGCACUCAACAAAUGGAGUUUCCCCAAGCACAGUUCUGUAAGAAGUGUGUGUGAGAGUGUGUGUCUAUCUGUGUGUGUGUGUUUUAAGUUAUUUGUAUUGUGCAAAUUUUUUUUUGAUCUUGGGGAUUCUGGCUGUGAAUUUGAUGCACGACAAUUAUGGUUUAAAACAUUUGCUUGGUCUACAGAAGGUCAUUAAUGUUUUGUGACCAUAGAAGUUGUAACAGUGGAUUGUUUUAUGUGUAGGUAUUAUUGUUAAAUACAGGGACUGUUGCCAGGCACAGAAUAUGAAUCAUAAGUUAGGAUGGACAUUAGAUGUGAUUAUGAGGAUAUAGUGAAGGUCUGCAGUCCUAGAUCUACAAAUGUGUGGUGAGAAAUUAGAACAAACUGGAGACGGCCAUUGACACAUGGACUUUGCCUGGCUGUGUUAGAAAAAUACUUUGACUCCAACCCUUAAACUACCCACGUGGAGUCAGCACUCACCUCAUUUACACUGUCAAGAGCUCCCUGGACACUGAACCUCCAAGGGGAGGAGGUCUCCCCUGAAGCAGGAGCAUCAGGGUUUACUCGGGAGCAUAACAUAGGUGAGUGUGGGCCAGGGGCUGGGUCAGGCCCUGGCAGCACUGCUGCUUGGGAGGAGCCACUUCACCUUUGUAUCAGUUGU